CGUCACACCCCGGGGGCUGGCGACGCCAGAAGCCGAGGAUCGAACCCGAUGAACUAACUUGAUGAAGGGAGUAGGAGAAACUGGGAUGAAGUAGUAACAAGGUAGCGGGAUCGGAAGGUACGGCUGGAUCACGUCCGUUCUAAGGAGA
rnacentral:rRNA from 1 species